AUUGAACGCUGGCGGCAGGCCUAACACAUGCGAGUCGAGCGGAUGAAGGGAGCUUGCUCCUGGAUUCAGCGGCGGACGGGUGAGUAAUGCCUAGGAAUCUGCCUGGUAGUGGGGGAUAACGUCCGGAAACGGGCGCUAAUACCGCAUACGUCCUGAGGGAGAAAGUGGGGGAUCUUCGGACCUCACGCUAUCAGAUGAGCCUAGGUCGGAUUAGCUAGUUGGUGGGGUAAAGGCCUACCAAGGCGACGAUCCGUAACUGGUCUGAGAGGAUGAUCAGUCACACUGGAACUGAGACACGGUCCAGACUCCUACGGGAGGCAGCAGUGGGGAAUAUUGGACAAUGGGCGAAAGCCUGAUCCAGCCAUGCCGCGUGUGUGAAGAAGGUCCUCGGAUUGUAAAGCACUUUAAGUUGGGAGGAAGGGCAGUAAGUUAAUACCUUGCUGUUUUGACGUUACCAACAGAAUAAGCACCGGCUAACUUCGUG
rnacentral:rRNA from 1 species